CCCUUUGAUACUCUGGGCGGCACGCGCGCUACAAUGGAUAACUUAACGUGUUACAUGUCCGAAAGGAUGUAUGCAAAUCACAAAUGUUAUGUCUCGAGUGGGAUAGUUUACUGCAAUUAUAGACUUGAACUAGGAAUCCCUUGUAGGUACACUGAAGCAUAGUGUACCGAAUACGUCCCUGCCCUUUGUACACACCGCCCGUCGCUCCUACCGAUUGAAUGCUCAGGUGAGCCAUUCGAACUUUCAUCAUGCUGGUUUCCAGUUUUGAUGAAGGAAAGUCUUGCGAACCUUAUCAUUUAGAGGAAGGAGAGGUCGUAACA
rnacentral:rRNA from 1 species